rnacentral:rRNA from 1 species
CCUUGAGUCUCCUGAAGGAACGUUGAAGACGACGACGUUGAUAGGUCGGGUGUGUAAGCGCAGCGAUGCGUUGAGCUAACCGAUACUAAUGAACCGUGAGGCUUAACCUU